rnacentral:misc_RNA from 1 species
GUGAAUCAUCGAAUUUUUGAACGCAAAUUGCACUCUCCUCGGAGAGGAUGCCUGUUUGAGGGUCAGCCUAUUAAAAAUCGACAUCGUUGCUGUUUCGCUGGGGCGUUCGUCGGGAAUUGUGUCAUCUUAUAGCGGUUGGUUUUAAUCGACUUAAAAUUUUCUUUUUGGUUCCAUGAACGUUUCUAAUAUUUAUUUCUUUACACGUUUAUGGUAUCGAUUAGUAUUAGACGUUACCAUCAU